rnacentral:lncRNA from 1 species
AGCAGAUGGCAGAGGGGCACAGGGUCUGUUACAGUGACAGAGCCUGGUGCCUUGCAAACAAAAACUUAAAAAAUAUCCAAGAAUUCUGAUUAAUUUCCAUCACUGCUGUCUUUAAAGGAAAGGCUGAUUCGAGGAUGGGAUAAGGUUUAGGGCAGGUUAUGUCCCUGCUAUAGGGUCAGCCCCCUCAGGAUGUACUGGACUUGUAUUUUAGAGAAGAUUUCUAUGAAAAUAAUGCAUUUAGGAUUUUUCCUCGCAAGAGCACAAGUGUUUUCAGAAGGGGGUGAGGGUUUAAACUCUUCCUCUUCAGCCAAGCCACUGUUCUCCCUUAAAACCUUCCCUGCCAGUUUUCCCCAGCCAUGUACCCUUCCCUUCCCUCACCAGAAUGAUGCUUGAAACAAGAGCGUGCAGACAGGAACUCCCCCGAACCAUCUUAACCCAGGUGUGGCCAUGAAGCACAGCGGAGAAUCCGGACUUCAUCCAUCCAUCCAUCCAUCCAUCCAUCCUUCUCCCUUCCCUUUUCCGUCCCCAUCUGAGCAUCCCCUCCGUGCAGCGACUCCUCUCUGCUCCGGGGGCAGACCUGGCAACCUUGGGAGCUGCUGGAUCUGCUCCUCGGAGGAGCCUCCUGCAGGGUAUUGAUGCUCUUCUGCGAUUUUUCUGCGAUUUUUCUUCAGCUUUGUUUGCCCCACGCUCCCCUCUGCUGCUCUGCGCUGGGAUCGCCGCUGGAGGAGCGGGCAAAGCCUGCCCAGGGCUCCCGGUUUAUGCCGAGGGAGAGUUACCAGAAACGGAGAGUGCUCGGUGCUGAGCUGUGCCGCUCCUGUUUGCUCUCCUGCCCCGCUCCCCUGGCUGUGCUCAGCUCCGGGAUGCUCCGAGGGCUGCUCCCCUCUCUCCGGGGAAGAGCCCGGCUCUGGGAACUCUGCUGCCCGGGCUCUGCUCUCCCCGCCCGCCGGAGAGCCCCGGCUGUGGCUCCAAACCUGUGGAAAUGUGAGCUGGCUGCAGCGGGGGGUACGAGAAGGUUCACCUGAGGUAACCCAGGAGUCUGCGGAGGAUCAGACACCACAUCCUGUCCUGGGAUCAUUCCAGCCCUCAUCAGUCACAAGGCUGUCGCUAUUCCCUGAUAACAGCACUGAAGCAGCUGUUCCUGGAGUUUUCUUUCAGUGGAACUGCCUUACACAACGACUUUGAGACCUGGAAAAUCCCAAAUGUCUAACACAUUAUUGCAUAUUUAACUAAAGUGAUGAUUUUGUGAUUCAUGUAGGUCCAGUACAUCUGCUCUGUGUUAAAUGUGCACACAGGGUUUGGGGGAUUUUUUUUAGCAAUUUCAUUCCUUUCUUUAAGAUCAUGCUUAUUUUCCCCUUAUUUUUAAAAAUGUUUAGAAAUGCAGUGCACAAAAGUCUUUGUGGACUCAAAGGGAUAAUUUUGUUAUCUAAGUCACGAAGAAUUUGUGCAAUGAUGUUUUUGAAAAGAGCAUUGUUGGGCACUUGGCAACUUCAUUCUUUGUGAAACUGGUGAAGAGAAAUUGUAAACUUUGCACAAUUCCUCCCCACCAUGAGCAAACAGGAAAAUACAGGAAAUCCCCGUGUUCCUGCCCACAGUCUACGAGAAAUAUCCAUUGCCAAAAAGUGCAACUCUCAGCAAGGUGUUACAUCCAUUAACUCCUUCUUUGGUGUUACUAAGGCAAUCCUGCUCUUCAGUCGUUCCUUGUCCCAUUGCAAUCAUGAUAAACCCAGUUUUUAAACAGAUGUUAGCUUGGGUGUCAGAGCAGGGACCAGCCUCUGCUCAGUGGUGCAGAGAAAUAGAGGAGGAGACGGGCAGGAAGUGAUGCCCAGGGAGUUCCAGCUGGACCAGAGGCAGAACUUUUUC